UGGUUCAGCCAAGAGGAUCUGUGGAA
rnacentral:piRNA from 1 species